AACAGAGGCAGCGGUGUUGUAUGCUCUGUGUCGCCAAGUCGCGUGUCUACCAGAGGUGAGAGAAUCUAGAUCGAACAGGGGCAAACCAAUCUGGCCUCGCUCCUCCCUUCCCAAUCUCCAUCCCUCUUCUCCUCACCCUCUCCCGCUCCCAUGUGCAUGCCUCCAACCUCAGAGCCACCAAACGGCCGCCGCCCAACCCUCGCCUCUGCCCUAGGGAGUCCGUCGCUGGACCCUCGCCGUCGGCCUCCUGCGCGGCGCAUCUUCUUCAGGUUCCUCCCCAAUCCCGUUUCUCCUCCCCGACGACGACCUCUCUCCUCCUCCCAAUGGUGGCACGCCGCCUCUCCCAGCAAUGGAGCCGGACGGGGAUGGACGAGGUGGCAGGCCGGAGAAGGCGACGUGGGCGGGCAGCGGCGCGCCGCUUUGAGAAAGUCGUCCACGACCCCGUGGCUCGAGCUCUCCGGUCAAGGCGGCGCCUCUCUGUCCCCGUUCGCACCGCACGGUUGCAGAGCGAGGGCUCCAAUGAUGGCGGCUCAGCGAGGCAGAGGGGUUGGGUUUGGUGGCGGGGCGUCACCAUCCUCUCCUGCCCGUGUGGGGCAGUGAAAACCUAGAUCGCGGGGACGCCCAAUCCCCGCGUCUCCUCUCUUUUCCCCAAUCCCGCCUCUCCUCGAAUUGGUUGGCCGCCGGCCUGUUCGGAGGAGCGGCCGUCCUCGUCCGGAGGAGGGGGACGAGGAUUGUGGCGGCAGCACCCGAGGUCGCGUAAAGCAGCAGUAGGUUGAGGUCGAGGGAGCGGCAGCGGCGGCGGUGCUGUCCGCGGCGGACACGAAGGUGGAGGCGCGCCUGGCCGACGUCGGGAACUGAAGCUACAAUGGCCUCAUCUCGAUUUGCCUCCAUGGUCUGACUUCUCUCUCCUUCCUCAGGUUUUUUGGGGGUGGGAGUGCAGGUAAGCCUGCCGCGGUUGACGAUGCUGCCGGCCGCAUUUGCAAUGGGUGGAUGACUCCGCUCAAAAGCAAAAAGGUUGUCGCUGACCAUGAUCCCAGUUCCCAGGCGCCCACUAGCAUGGAAGGGGCAAAGUACGGAGCUUUGGUUAAGGUUGCUCACCAAUGAUCUGGAAGUGUUUUUGUUCUGGGUAAUUGCAUGAUUGAGGAAGAAACUGGUUAUUCCAAAAUGUGCUAUUGCAGAUCCAAGGAGCUUUGGUUAAGGUUGCUCACCAAUGAUCUGGAAGUGUUUUUGUUCUGGGUAAUUGCAUGAUUGAGGAAGAAACUGGUUAUUCCAAAAUGUGCUAUUGCAGAUCCAAGGAGCUUUGGUUAAGGUUGCUCACCAAUGAUCUGGAAGUGUUUUUGUUCUGGGUAAUUGCAUGAUUGAGGAAGAAACUGGUUAUUCCAAAAUGUGCUAUUGCAGAUCCAAGGAGCUUUGGUUAAGGUUGCUCACCAAUGAUCUGGAAGUGUUUUUGUUCUGGGUAAUUGCAUGAUUGAGGAAGAAACUGGUUAUUCCAAAAUGUGCUAUUGCAGAUCCAAGGUGUUUUUCCAUGUGAGAAAUAUGAUACUGGUGCCAUCCUAAAACCUUCUCAAAACAGAAUUUCCAGUUUCAGUUUAAUGUUGUAGAGCCACGGUGGCGGUGGCGGGCGACCCAGCCAUGGUGCCGACUGGACACGUAAGGGGUGGCCGCAGGGAGCAAUCAGCAACAGCGACGGCUGGACACGGCAGCGGCAGCAGCAGGGACCUCCCGAGCGACAAUUCCUCUUCCUCGCCUCCUCCUACUCUCGACUGUUCGUUGAGGGUUUGAUGCCCACUGUUCAUUGAGGGUUUGAUGCCCACUGUUCAUGCCAUGGCCACUACCCAAAAGACUGUUUAUGGUCCCUCAAGCAAGUCCUGGAGAGGUGGAAGGGCUGCUAGCUUCAACAUCAUUCCCAGCACUGGAGCUGCAAAGGCUGCUGGCAAGGUGCUUCAGUCCUUAACGGAGAGUUGACAGGAAUGGCCUUCCGUGUCCCAGCUGCUGAUAUUUUUGUUGGUGAUCUGACCGUGAGACUUGAGAAGGCAACCACCUAUGAGCAGAGGGAGGAGUCUGAGGGAAAGCUCAAGGGUAUGUGUGAAACCAAGGUAUUAUUGUAACAAUUCAGUUUACGAUACCUUUGGGCAUGGGCAUGAAUAUCUUCAGCCUGCUUUUAAUCUCCUACUAAUUUUUGUAAUGUAUAUCUCAGUGCUCAUCCAUAUUGUAUAACCAAAGUAAAAAAGUUAAAGGAAUAUUCGAACAAGUUAAAGGAAUCUUUGAACAAAUUUGUUGGUUUUUUAUUCUAUAGAUAGUGUAUACUAUUGAAAAAUAAACCAAGACCAGUUUCAUCAUUUCUAUUUUUCACAGCAUAUCUCGCUGUUUCUAAGCUACUGGUCCAGGAAGAGUGACAAAGGUAACACGCUACAAGCAGUUACCGAAAGAGUGUCAAAGAUUCUUUUAUUUUACAUUUGUUUCUGCAUUUAGCUUGUUCUACUUUGUUUAUUCUUCUUUCUUUCACUAAAGUGGAAAAGGGGGGAAAUGAAGUCUCUGUUAUAUUGAUAUAUUUAAAGGCAUCUUGUGAUCUAAGAACUUGAUUAUCAAUGGUGACAAGCUUAGCUUGAAAUUACAAGGAUCUUUAUUGAUUGUGUAGCCAUUUCCUAAGAAACUAAGAACCUUAAUGGUUUUUUACCCCAGUUUAGUUGUUCAAAUGUGUUCAUCACAUUUAGCAUCUGGAAGGCAUGAUUACCAGUUGUUAAAGACUUCUUUAUAUGCAACCUUUAGAAGAAACAAGCUUAGGCAGAAUAUAUUGCAUCUGCUAUUGCAAAGUAAUUUGCAUAACUUGGUAGGUGUAUAUAUUUUGGGUCUCAUGUGGGAAGGAAAAUAAGUGAAAAAAGCAAAUGAUCACCUAGAGUUGCUUCUGAAUGUUUUCUUUUUUUCCAUUAAAUUUUAUUGAAAAAACUUCCUCUUCAGCUGCAUUUUUUUCUCUAUAUGACUAUUAUAUCCUUUAGGUGAUGUUGCUUCAGUUCCUCGUGGUUGAGGUGAUGUUGCUUCAAUUCCUCGUGGUUGAGGGUGACGAUGACCAAAGCGUGCAGUGCAGCAGCCUGGCAGGCGACAGCAUUAAGACCACAAGCAUAGCUUUAGAGACAGUUCUCAUCGAACGACGAUGAGCACAGCUGAUGUAAAGACGCCAAGGGCAUGUUUUGGAUGAUUCGGUGCCUCUCGUUCAUGGCAACGAGGAUCAGAUCAGCUGCCAAGAGAUGUAUUUCGCGAAUCUGCAGUUGUUGGUGCAGAGUCAGCUGUUGAAUCUCCGGCUCCACCAGACGAUAGAAGCUGCGGAGCAGGGCUGUGAAGCAAUCAAGCGUUGCAGUUGACAAGAAAAAAUCCCAGAGGUGGCUGGGUGCAUUGUUCCUACUUCAUAGGCGAAGUACAUGAGCUCCAUCGUUUAUUUUGCUGCGGAUAACACUGACAUGUUUGGGGCAUCAAGGGUGUUAAACCCAAUCUGGUCAUCUGACCGAUCGAUCAAUGAAAUUGUAUUAUUGUAGUUGUAAGAUCGAUUCGCUAAGUGAGCCUUGGCGAUAUUUUUGUACGGAGCACCUCGGUUCCCUAUCGUCGAUGUUCUGAAAUAUAGUGCUACAAACUACUCCUAACUACCUAUGUAGAGAUCCAUGCUACGUCGCUUGACGUAUAUGCAGUGUAUGCUCUAUGCAAGACUUUUUUUGUUUUUAUUUUGUUUUUAGCUUCAUGCAUGCUUGGUGGCGGUUUGAAAAUGACUGGUCGCGCUUGCUGCACUAUGCGAUUGUGUUAGAACUUCAAUAUUAAGGUCCUCGAACUUUCCUUGGAAAAUAGUUAUAUGAGCUACUAUUUUGCUUUUUUUCCUUGGCGUUGAAAUUGUCAUAUCUUAAUGCAGCACCUCGAUGGAAUGGUGUUUCUACAAUUAUACCAAAGCUGUUAAAUUUCAAGGUAAUUUUUAAUACUAAAAUAAGAUAAAACU